UACGGAGGGUGCAAGCGUUGCUCGGAAUUAUUGGGCGUAAAGGGUAGGUAGGUGGUCUCAUUUGUCUGGGGUGAAAGCCUUGGGCUUAACUCAAGAAGUGCCCCAGAAACGGUGAGACUGGAGUCCUGGAGAGGGUCGUGGAAUUCCCGGUGUAGCGGUGAAAUGCGUAGAGAUCGGGAGGAACACCAGAGGCGAAGGCGGCGACCUGGACAGGCACUGACACUCAACUACGAAAGCGUGGGGAGCAAACAGG
rnacentral:rRNA from 1 species